UACGGAGGGUGCAAGCGUUAUCCGGAUUUACUGGGUUUAAAGGGUGCGUAGGCGGGCAGGUAAGUCAGUGGUGAAAUCUUUGGGCUUAACCCGAAAACUGCCAUUGAUACUAUCUGUCUUGAAUAUUGUGGAGGUUUGCGGAAUAUGUCAUGUAGCGGUGAAAUGCUUAGAUAUGACAUAGAACACCUAUUGCGAAGGCAGCAAACUACGCAUAUAUUGACGCUGAGGCACGAAAGCGUGGGGAUCAAACAGG
rnacentral:rRNA from 1 species